UCCGCAGUGAACCCUCUUAUUGCCGUUAACCUUUGUCGCUUGUCGCUUUAUACUCUGUGGGUGCGAGCGCGUGCGCGAUAGAGAGCGGGGGGGCCCUCAGGCUGUGAAAGCAAGAGAUCAGUUCAGAUACCUGUUUACUAAUUUGAUGACCUGGACACCUUAAUCGAAGCCAUGUAAAAAAGAGAGAGCGCGAGAAAGAGAGAGGCAGAGGAAGGAUCCUUUUUUACCCAGAGACCAGAGGUGUGCCACUCAUCCGGAAAAAAAAGGGCAUGGCUUGAUUCAUCAGCAAGGUUGACACCAGAGGAAGGAUCCUGCAGACAUGACCCAAUGCAAGAGACAGUUGAAUGAUCCAUUAUAAUCUGGCAGGGGAAUGUCAGUAACUAUGGAUCACGGGGAGGUGGUGACCUUGUGGUAUCAUCAUUGGACUGUAAAGCCAGACUCUGGAGACCCAGCUUCAAAGCACACAGCUCGGAGGCCCCUCUCUCUGAUGAAGGGUCUUGGCCCGAAACGACAGCUUUUGUGCUCCUGAGAUGCUGCUUGGCCUGCUGUGUUCAUCCAGCUCCACACUUUGAUAACAAAGCACACAGCAGCUGGUAGAAUUUGA